rnacentral:lncRNA from 1 species
CAGUAGCUGUCAAAUAAACAGAAGACGACGAUCUUGGAAGUAACCAGGAUCGUAGUGUUUGCCAAAUAAAGAAAGAACUGAUGAAGUGCAUACAGAGACACUGGACAGCUUCUGAAGAACAAGGCUAAAGUGAUUACGCAUUGGGUCAGUCCAUUGAUGAUAAGUGAAUGGGAGAUCACAAGGAGAAAGCGAGCUGGACACGCCAUAAAUCUGAAGUGUCUUGUUAUUUAGAAGGGGCCAGAACAAAGAAGUCAAGUCAUCAGUAUCUAAGAGUUGUUGAGGCAAACAGAAGUGUUAAAG